rnacentral:lncRNA from 1 species
ACUUUUCUCAUCAAGUCCUGGGCGAGUCUUGAGAAAAUGAACAUGGAACCAAAUCUUGUCCCACACCCAGGGAUCCAGAGAGUUGGGAGGAGAGCGGAAGUUCACGGUGGACGUGGCCAACCUGGUGGCCCCCUUCUCUUGUUCUGUAUUCAUCACCUGCAGGGAAAACACAUCCAGAGAGAUGGGGAUGUUCUUGGGAUGAGGUGCUCAUCUCAACUCUGCUGGGAAGACAAGACGCCAACACUCCCUCACAACUCACCCUGUGCUGGGAAAACAAACAAAAAAGACAAUGGAAGGGAUCGUACAACAACUAACAGAAGGAGGUGAAAUCUUCCCUAGGUCCCCCAUCCCCACCCCCAUUUUGAACAAUGAAAUUUAAAUUAUUUGGAAAUUUACAUUAGUUUUGACCUAUUAUGGCAUUUACCUAGAGGAAACAUGCGAACUUAUAAUGUGAAAUAAUUAAAUGUCUUCUUUUGUUUGAAAGUUCUUUAAAUUCCUUAUGAGACACAGGAAUGGAUAGAAAACACUUCAGAUUCUACAGAAAUAAAUAAGUAUAGACAGAUAGAUACAGAUAUGAAAAUAACAUUAUAGGUGAUUCUGCUUUCUAGGUAACUUAAAUUCUGAUACGAGCAUAAGACAGUUUUUGAGAGAUCUUUGACAAAUUUGGUAUUUCUCAAAUUUCUGUGAAACUCAUACGUACUGAUUGAAAAGGUAUAGAAUUUAGUCAAAAAAGUCAAAGUGAGAACCUGAGGCUAUUUUUCCCUCUGAUUUUUUUUGACUCUGAUUUUGUUUGACUCUGAUUUUUUUCUAAAUUCUUUUCCCCAGCCAUGUUUUUUCCAAUGCCAUCAUUUUAGUUUCAAUUACUAUUAUAACUAUGCUUUUAGUUUAUCACAAUUUUUCAUGUACAUAUAAGAUCUUUUAUUCAAUAAAUAGUGAUUGAAUUGCCAACACUGUACCAAGAACUGAGUUUUUAUUUUUAUUUUUUUUAAAGGUUUUAUUUAUUUAUUCAUGAGAGACACAGAGAGAGAGGCAAAGACACAGGCA